rnacentral:rRNA from 1 species
UGGGGAAUAUUGGACAAUGGGCGCAAGCCUGAUCCAGCAAUGCCGCGUGAGUGAUGAAGGCCUUAGGGUUGUAAAGCUCUUUCGCACGCGACGAUGAUGACGGUAGCGUGAGAAGAAGCCCCGGCUAACUUCGUGCCAGCAGCCGCGGUAAUACGAAGGGGGCUAGCGUUGUUCGGAAUUACUGGGCGUAAAGGGCGCGUAGGCGGCCUGUUUAGUCAGAAGUGAAAGCCCCGGGCUCAACCUGGGAAUAGCUUUUGAUACUGGCAGGCUUGAGUUCCGGAGAGGAUGGUGGAAUUCCCAGUGUAGAGGUGAAAUUCGUAGAUAUUGGGAAGAACACCGGUGGCGAAGGCGGCCAUCUGGACGGACACUGACGCUGAGGCGCGAAAGCGUGGGGAGCAACAGGAUUAGAUACCCUGGUAGUCCACGCCGUAAACGAUGAAUGCUAGACGUCGGGGUGCAUGCACUUCGGUGUCGCCGCUAACGCAUUAAGCAUUCCGCCUGGGGAGUACGGCCGCAAGGUUAAAACUUAAAGGAAUUGACGGGGUC